rnacentral:rRNA from 1 species
GAUGAACGCUGGCGGCGUGCCUAAUACAUGCAAGUCGAGCGAAGCGGGGACGGGUGAGUAACACGUGGAUAACCUCCUAUAGGGCUGGGAUAACUUCGGGAAACCGGGGCUAUACCGGAUACUUAUAGAUUGGUCCUCGCUGCAUUAGCUAGUUGGUAAGGUAACGGCUUACCAAGGCAACGAUGCAUAGCCGACCUGAGAGGGUGAUCGGCCACACUGGAACUGAGACACGGUCCAGACUCCUACGGGAGGCAGCAGUGGGGAAUCUUCCGCAAUGGGCGAAAGCCUGACGGAGCAACGCCGCGUGAGUGAUGAAGGCCUUCGGAUCGUAAAACUCUGUUAGUAGGGAAGCGGUACCUGAACAGAAAGCCACGGCUAACUACGUGCCAGCAGCCGCGGUAAUUC